rnacentral:rRNA from 1 species
AUUGAACGCUGGCGGCAUGCUUUACACAUGCAAGUCGAACGGUAACAGGCCGCAAGGUGCUGACGAGUGGCGAACGGGUGAGUAAUGCAUCGGAACGUGCCCAGUCGUGGGGGAUAACGCAGCGAAAGCUGCGCUAAUACCGCAUACGAUCUAUGGAUGAAAGCGGGGGACCGUAAGGCCUCGCGCGAUUGGAGCGGCCGAUGUCAGAUUAGGUAGUUGGUGGGGUAAAGGCUCACCAAGCCAACGAUCCGUAGCUGGUCUGAGAGGACGACCAGCCACACUGGGACUGAGACACGGCCCAGACUCCUACGGGAGGCAGCAGUGGGGAAUUUUGGACAAUGGGCGCAAGCCUGAUCCAGCAAUGCCGCGCGCAGGAAGAAGGCCUUCGGGUUGUAAACUGCUUUUGUACGGAACGAAACGGUCCUGGUUAAUACCUGGGGCUAAUGACGGUACCGUAAGAAUAAGCACCGGCUAACUACGUGCCAGCCGCCGCAGUAAAAC